UACAGAGGGGUGCAAGCGUUAAUCGGAAUUACUGGGCGUAAAGCGUGCGCAGGCGGUGAUGUAAGACAGGUGUGAAUCCCCGGGCUUAACCUGGGAACUGCAUUUGUGACUGCAUCGCUGGAGUGCGGCAGAGGGGAUGAAUUCCGCGUGUAGCAGUGAAAUGCGUAGAUAUGUGGAGGAACACCGAUGGCGAAGGCAGCCCCUGGCCAGCACUGACGCUCAUGCA
rnacentral:rRNA from 1 species